GAAAGUAUCGCAUCACUCUCUACAUUUCCAUAAGCCAAGCCCUCCACAAUUUUCCCGCCUUUGUCUCACUCUCUUCCCCGCCUUGACUCUCCAUGGUUCAGAAGCGCCGCCGGGUCGGACUCUCUCCCGCCGAUACUGGUGUGGAGGCUAACGAGUGCAUCAAAAUUUAUCUCGUUUACAGCAAAGAGGAAGUAGGUUCUCCUGAAGUUCCAUGUGUUAAUCCAGUUGAUUUGAACGAUUUUUUUGAUGGAGAUGGAAAAAUACAUGGCUACCAAGGUUUGAAGAUAAAUGUAUGGAUCAAUAGCAUCAUUGCAUUCAUAUGCUGAUGUUACAUACAAGAGCACAACCAAUGCAAACAAUAACGGAGGUUCUGAAAGGUUGUGUAAGACGUGUCUCCGUGAGGAAUCUAUGCGUUUAGCUUGGUUCGUGUCGUUUCGUUUGCGAUUCUUCUCAUCCAAGCCGUAACGUUUUACAUUGAUUCAACGCCAUUACCAAUCCCUAACGUGUUGCAUUGAUUCAAUGCCAUUAACGCCUUCUUAACUCUCUCAACUCACUACAACCACGAUCACUGAUUUAUAUCUCCUUCCAGAAAGUUUCGUAAAGUUAAAGAAACGAUGCAUCAUUGAGAAGUUCAGCCAAAUGCUUUCGCCGCGGGCAUAGAUUUUAGGUGCUCCGUUUCAGUGGUAGAAAAGGAUCAGACUGUUGACGUUACUCCAAAACCAUAUCAUAUUGGUUUCCUUGACCCUGCAGUCUACAAACAGAUCCACCAUCCCUCUCGGUCUCUGCUAUUACUUCAGAUGAACAGAUCUUCUUAACUCUCUCAACUCACUACAACCACGAUCACUGAUUUAUAUCUCCUUCCAGAAAGUUUCGUAAAGUUAAAGAAACGAUGCAUCAUUGAGAAGUUCAGCCAAAUGCUUUCGCCGCGGGCAUAGAUUUUAGGUGCUCCGUUUCAGUGGUAGAAAAGGAUCAGACUGUUGACGUUACUCCAAAACCAUAUCAUAUUGGUUUCCUUGACCCUGCAGUCUACAAACAGAUCCACCAUCCCUCUCGGUCUCUGCUAUUACUUCAGAUGAACAGAUCUUCUUAACUCUCUCAACUCACUACAACCACGAUCACUGAUUUAUAUCUCCUUCCAGAAAGUUUCGUAAAGUUAAAGAAACGAUGCAUCAUUGAGAAGUUCAGCCAAAUGCUUUCGCCGCGGGCAUAGAUUUUAGGUGCUCCGUUUCAGUGGUAGAAAAGGAUCAGACUGUUGACGUUACUCCAAAACCAUAUCAUAUUGGUUUCCUUGACCCUGCAGUCUACAAACAGAUCCACCAUCCCUCUCGCCAUCAUAUAGGGGCUGACCUAUUGGCAUCAGAGGUCGACGCUGAUAUCUUUGAUAUCAUAGUCACAAAGGUAAUAUAUCUUUGGUUUGUUUGAGUUCUUAAUAGGUGAAAUGUAAGUUCUUAGAUCACCAUUCAUGAUAAGAUGUAUAAAUAGUGACAUAAUUCACUUUGAUGUUCAAGUUUUUAGAUUCACCACUAAUAUUCUCAUUCAACCACAUCAAACUAAGAUUUCUGACUUGACUUUUUACAUGUGCGAAGCUCUAGUUACAUGAAAUCGAUGACACCUCAUAAUCUUAUCUUCAUCUCCUGGCACCAAAAAGCUGAGAAACGCCAUAGUUUCAGUGGAAAUAGGUAACUCCAAAGUGGUAGAUGGAAUCAGUAAUGUUCUUUUGACAUCUUCAGCCUGUUCAUAUGUUCAGCUGUGCGUAUAGAAAAGACAGAUUACAGUGCAUCUUUAUGGUUGCUGCCUUUCUCUCUCUGUGAAGUUUCUCAGUAGAGAAAAAGACAGAGAGUGGAAAGAGCUUGACACAAUGUUAGUCUUAUUGGUUCCCUUCAAUAUUUUUUCUUUGACUUAGUCAUAAACUCUUAAUAGCAUGUUCUUAAUCAAAAAAGCAACA